AUUCAUUUCCCCCUUGGUGUGGAGAACACAGCAGUACACCAGGGCCCCUCUGUCUGCUGGUGAUUGGAGGAGAAAGCAAGCCAUCUAUUGCAGAAACAUGCCAGCGUCUUUUUUUAAUGGAAGAUCAUCUAUGAAAAUCGGAAAAUGGAAGAGGACCUUCUACAAUGCUACUCAAAGCCAGGAAAUAUUUUUAGCAUAGUUAAUAACAGAUCGAGGGAUAAGACAGUUGAGAAAUUCAUUCUCAAAAGUAUAAAAGGCGUGACUGUGAGACCGGUAUUUCCUUCCUUCAUUCAUUUAAACAAUAUUUACUGAGUGCCUACAGAUUACUAAACACUGCUCUAGGAGGUAGGGAAACAUCUAUGAAUAAAACAGUUAGAAAUCCCUGUCCUCAGUGACCUUAUUUAUAUUCUAGAGUUGGGAGUUUACAUUCUAAUGCUUCAUGUUGAGACUAGAUCUAUGAGGAUGGGUUCUCUUAUUGCCUCUAGCCACAGAAUGGACCAGAAGAUCUCCUUAAUUCCAUACAAGGAAAUUAAUGACUGGCAACCUGAGUCAAAUGCCAUUGAGAGGGAAAAACGUGCAGGGACAAGAACCGGAGAGUUUUAAGAAACCAAAAGGCCUGUUGGAGAGAAAAUGAAUUUGACGUUCCACAAACAAGAAAAGACCUGUGCAGUACAGGCCAAAGGCCUCUGACACCCACUAAGGAUCUUAAAUAGUAAGCCCGACAGAGUAGAGGCACCUUACCCAAGAUAGUUUCUGUAUACAUGGCUACAGGCCUCUCAAACCCGGAGGAAGAACUGCCUUCUGAAUACACUGCUGUGACUGACCAAUCUAGAAAAUGUCUCUUCAGCUUUACAUUUCUGCUUGGGUUUCAGGGUUUUGCUUUUAUUUUAUUUUACUUUGUUAGUGUUUGAGGGGAAAGGUGUUUUGUUGGGUUGUGCUGUAUUUAUUUUCAGCAGUUGACUACACUACCCAACCUGCUAAUGUUGAGGACCUAUCUAUCUGUGUUAUGUAUGGCCAUCUUGAUAUUUUAAAUAGAAUAGCUUUUUUAACCCAAUCGUUUUCAAAUAUAUUAUAUUUAACACCAUUUCACCCAAAAGAUGAAUAUGUAAACCAGACAGAAGAAGAGCUGCUCGGAUUAGAACUCAGAGCAGGUGGG
rnacentral:lncRNA from 1 species